rnacentral:rRNA from 1 species
CGACUCGGGCCGGGAUGUUCACAACCCUUUGUUGUCCGACUCUGUUGCCUCCGGGGCGACCCUGCCUCCGGGCGGGGGCCCCGGGUGGACAUCUCAAACUCUUGCGUAACUUUGCAGUCUGAGUAAAUUUAAUUAAUAAAUUAAAACUUUCAACAACGGAUCUCUUGGUUCUGGCAUCGAUGAAGAACGCAGCGAAAUGCGAUAAGUAAUGUGAAUUGCAGAAUUCAGUGAAUCAUCGAAUCUUUGAACGCACAUUGCGCCCCCUGGUAUUCCGGGGGGCAUGCCUGUUCGAGCGUCAUUUCACCACUCAAGCCUCGCUUGGUAUUGGGCGACGCGGUCCGCCGCGCGCCUCAAAUCGACCGGCUGGGUCUUUCGUCCCCUCAGCGUUGUGGAAACUAUUCGCUAAAGGGUGCCGCGGGAGGCCACGCCGUAAAACAACCCCAUUUCUAAGGUUGACCUCGGAUCAGGUAGGGAUACCCGCUGAACUUAAGCAUAUCAAA